CCUACGGGAGGCAGCAGUGAGGAAUAUUGGUCAAUGGACGAGAGUCUGAACCAGCCAAGUAGCGUGAAGGAUGACUGCCCUAUGGGUUGUAAACUUCUUUUAUAUGGGAAUAAAAUGUUCCACGUGUGGGAUUUUGUAUGUAACAUAUGAAUAAGGAUCGGCUAACUCCGUGCCAGCAGCCGCGGUAAUACGGAGGAUUCGAGCGUUAUCCGGAUUUAUUGGGUUUAAAGGGAGCGUAGGUGGAAUGUUAAGUCAGUUGUGAAAGUUUGCGGCUCAACCGUAGCAUUGCAGUUGAAACUGACAGUCUUGAGUACAGUAGAGGUAGGCGGAAUUCGUGGUGUAGCGGUGAAAUGCUUAGAUAUCACGAAGAACUCCGAUUGCGAAGGCAGUUCACUGGACUGCAACUGACACUGAGGCUCGAAAGUGUGGGUAUCAAACAGGAUUAGAUACCCUUGUAGUC
rnacentral:rRNA from 1 species